GUGAAAAAUAUACUUUUUUUCCCCCUUUCCUCAUUUGUAGGAUGUAUUUACAAAUGAGAUGUGCUAUACAUUUGUAUUUUAUUUCGUUCUCCUUUUUUAUUUCUUAAAAAAAUGGUCCCACUUGUUUUGUGCUCACUGUUGUUGCAUGGAGGGUUGCAUUUCGUUUUUUUUUGUGAAAGUUGGUGAGCAUGUUGGUGUGAUCCUGGGGCUCUAACUUAACAUAAUGACCUGCAAUAAGCACUGAAAAACCACAACUAUGGCUGAUUCCUAAAUGCCACCAUUAUCCUUAUAUAAGGACUGGGGUUCCAUUUGAGACACACGCCAUGUUGGAAAGUAAAAUAUUUGUUAUAAUUGAUCAAAUCCCUCACUGCAUGGACAUACCAAUGCUGGUGAUGUGUACGAUAUACCAAAACUCAAUUAAAAUAAACUAAGUGCCUGGUUUUCACUGACACAGAUUAAGCCUAGUCCUGGGCAUAAAAACUUGCCUCGAUGGAAAUCUCCAUUGACCUUGAUUUUUUAAGUCCAGUAUUAGGCUUAAUGUGUCUGUGUAACCGGCCCUAUGUUCCCCUUUCAUGUCCAUUGUACCACAAAGAAGAAAAUACAGUACAACUUCAAAAAAGUAUGAUACAAUUUACCAAAGUGGCGGUCUUCUGGCCAACAAAUACCACCGUAGCUCAAUUGAUGGUUAAAAUGUGUCAGAAUACAACUAUAGUCUGGAUGCUGUUAAACUCUCAUCCUAUUCUCUAUUUAGUGUCCUAUAUUGCCCACCAUAAAAAUAUUUUGACCACCGUCAAAGGUGGAACAAUAUUUGGAAAAUAUGCCAUUUAGGGUGUAUAUUAUUGUACUGUAUAAGCACAUUUUUCCACUAGUCACCUAUCACUUUCAACAAUAUGGCACCGUAUAAUGAAUGUGUGACUUGGUGGUCUGCGUGUAUAACUGUGUGUGUUUGUGUUUAUAAACGUACGAGUGGGUAAAGGUGUGAGUGUGCCUCUAACGUAUCAAAACUCUUAAGAAUCAGAAUUUUAGGUAUUUUAUAUUGAAUGCAGUAACUUAUGGGCCAGUACUAUUACUAUUACUCAGUGCAAUGCAGUUAUCGUUAUAAUACAAGUCAUUAAUAUUAUUUCUUUUGUAUUUGUACAGAACAAAUGUGUAAGGAUCAGUGAGGAAAACGUGAGCUUUUUGAUACUGUGAGAAAUGGUGUUCCAUUAAGUCAGUUUCCCCCCUGUACAGUUGUGAUUUUCCCCCACUCCUUUUAUAGAAUAAAAUGUUUUUGGUGCAGAUGAUGAUGUAAUGUCUUUUUUUGUUGACUGAGUGUGACAUUGUUCGGCAGAGUGGCAGAAAAUUGCCUGGGGUUGCAAAGAGAAGUAAAGCGACAAGUGUUGAAUGUUAGCUAAAGAGACUAGUUUCCACC
ensembl:lncRNA